CUUAGGACCUGCACCGAAGGGGAGAGGCAGCACAUCCAAAGGGGGGCUUCCAGAGUGUGGAGUUCCGGAGUUUGGCGAUGAGUAUUGAUCCUGCACUAAUGCCAUGGAAAGACUCCAAGGCAAACUUUGAUGUUCUGAUGCCGGUGUCGAAGUCCUUCAGUCACCUCUCCUAUAGCAACAAGCCCUCGUUUCUAGUUGACCACGCCCCCUGUAUUUAAAACCUAGCACAUGGGGGCCCCUAGGAGUGAGGAAUGUCCGCCUCACACAUACUUGGAUACUUCCCCACUUCUUCCUCCUUUCUGCAAUGCCUUUGGGUCACCGGGGACUACAGAGUUGGCAGGGAGAUUUCAUCCAACAUGGCAGCCUAAUCAAGGGUUAUACUGAAAAGCGCUCUAAGCCCCUCCCAUUCUCAACCAGAAAGAUCACCAUGUCUGCCCUGAGGAAGGAAUGUGGGAAGCAGUGGCAUCACCAUUUCUCACCCUCCGCGACCUUCUCUAUGAAAACCAGCAUGUUUGUUCCGGUUCCAGCUUUCCGAAGGGUUCCUGUGCUCCACGAUGGAGAUACAGAAAACCAGCUGUCUCAAGGAAGAUGAGCUGAGGGGGAAGGAGGGGUUGUAAAGCAGGGCUGCCUGGCACCCGAAGCCUGCUCACAGCUUGGAGGCAAGUUGUCUCCUAUCACCUGUACACUUGACUUCCUCAGAUUUUCUCCUCUUAGGUGGUGGCUUAUCCUCUCCAAGCCUUCUCUUUAUGUUCAUUUAAAAUUUUCUCCCGCGUCACAUUUUGCUUUGAGGAGGUAGGGUGGGUACUCACAGGGCGAUUGGCUCCAGGCCUCUGUUUAUCCAUCAGGAGGAUGCUGGCUGGAUCAUUUAUGGCCCGGAAAUUGGAACUUCAAAGAGAAUCCGCUAUCUUCUGGCAACAAAAGAUUUAGAAGCUGGCACACAGGGAAAUGUUUGAUAUUUCCCCUCAUUCUUUCCAUGGGAAUACAAAGUAAAGCAAGUUCAAAAUGGCUAUUAGUGGAACUGUAAGAUGUGGAGUAGAAAACCCCAGCAGGGUUUGAAAGCAGACUUCCGAGACCUGGAAGGAGCAUGCAGCUCAGUUCGUGGCUGUGUGAGUACUGGACACGCCAAGAUCUAGAACUGGGAAGCUGGAGCUAUACUUUCAGCCUUGUCACUCACUGAGAAAGUCACUUCCCCUCUCUGGGCCUCAGUUUCCCCAUCUGUUAUCUGCCCUGCCCACCUCAAAGGGUCUUGGGGAUGAUCUAAUGAGAGAAAGGAUGUGAACAUGCAUUGGAAAGAAGGCUCAAGAGCUAUAUAAAAGGAGGGAAUGAUUGUUUGUUUUCGUAAGUGGAGUUGUCUCUUUGCCAUCACUGCUGGAGAGCUGUUUGGACCAUAAGUAUUUGGCCUCUGAACUUUCUCUCUGGACCGGAGCAGCUGUGGGUGGCAGGAAUGUGGGGAGGGAGGAAAUAUCAGAGUUAGCAAGCAUGGGCCUCAGUCUAGGACUUGGCCAGGUUUCUAGGGGGAAAAAAAAAGUCUCAAGUAGCUCUUUGUGGUCAUGAAGAACACACUUAUGUGAUUGUUUUGAAUGUUUUAGAGUCUGAAGAAAAUCUUUAAGGGACAUAUCAUAAUGGACAACAAUAGAGUUACUCAUCGAACCAAGGCUGCACAAAACCACACGGAAUGGGGAAUAGAAGAAAUUAUCUAAACAGUUCAACACUCCUCAUCCUUCUCACAUGUACACGCACGCAGGUGCAGAGAUUAUUUCAUCCACCAUGAUUCAAAUAGCAGUUUGAACUCUUCCCUCUUUGCACCUACUCAGAGCCUUUCCAGUCUUCAAAGUGCUUCCCAAUUUCUUUGUCAUUUUAUACUCUGUGCCAAGCACAGUAUCUGGCACUCAGUAAGUUUCUGAUCAAUGAAGUACCAACCAGUCUGGCGUAUAUGGUUACAGAAGUGGCCCCCAAUGAAUCAUGCCUCUCUGAAUCCAUGUCCUUGUGUAGGUUCUUCUACAUUGACUCUAGGCUUGGCCACAUGAUUUGCUUUGGCACCAACAGGACCUUAGCAAACGUGAUACAAACAGGGGCUUGAAAAACACAUCAGAACGUGCACACCAUAUGAAGUAGCCUGUGCCAGGCUGCUGGAGACGCAUGGCCAGUCAUCAGCCAGCUCCAACUGCCAUUCAUGUGAGCGAGGCCGUUUUAGGCCCUCCAUUCCCUAUCAAGCCACCAGACGUCUGCAGCCAAAGUCAGCAGAAUGCUUGCCCAGUGCUUUCCUGGAAGGCUGUGUUGAGAAGAAUUUGAGGACAACUUAACGGAAAAGAAAGCCAAGGUUCCAGUAACGUGUGCAGAGAACAUGGGCGGGAAUAGUGGCAAUACGUCUGGUUAGAUUUGCCAUCCUUGUUCCAUAUUAUCAAUCAGAGAUCAAUGAAUAACGAAAGCAGAAUAACCAAAGUUAAAUGUUAAGUGGGCUAAUUGGAAAGGGGAUUUUCCAAUGAAUUAGGUAACAUCUCCCUGGAACAGUGAUGAACUCAACCAGAUUUAAUGACAUCACCAGCGAACACAGUUCUGUGACUAAGGAAAGCCACAAUGUGGGACUCCAGCUGGUGACCCAGGUUUCCUGGGGGCAGUCACAAGUGGCUUUAUUAUGGCCACAGAUCUCUUCAUCAGCUUCAUAGGCCCAGAAACACAGUCCUGCUAGUGCAUCUGGAGCUGACUGGGCUCUUGGGAAGAGAUCUACAAGAACCACAUUCAUGGGAUACUGACAGCAAAAUAAAAUGUGAGGACAUUCCAAGGGUUCAACAAAGCUUAUCUGCUCCCCAGACUAAAUUAGUCAUCAAAAAGGCUCAGUCCGGGCUUCCCUGGUGGCGCAGUGGUUGAGAGUCCGCCUGCUGAUGCAGGGACACGGGUUCGUGCCCCGGUCCGGGAAGAUC